rnacentral:rRNA from 1 species
UACGGAGGGGGCUAGCGUUGUUCGGAAUUACUGGGCGUAAAGCGCACGUAGGCGGCUUUGUAAGUUAGAGGUGAAAGCCCAGGGCUUAACCCUGGAAUUGCCUUUAAGACUGCAUCGCUAGAAUCGUGGAGAGGUGAGUGGAAUUCCGAGUGUAGAGGUGAAAUUCGUAGAUAUUCGGAAGAACACCAGUGGCGAAGGCGACUCACUGGACACGUAUUGACGCUGAGGUGCGAAAGCGUGGGGAUCAAACAGG